AUGCCGUGGCCAUCCCCUGCCUCCUGGCCAUCCGCAGCCACCCUGGCUUUCCUCCGACACUGGACUCCGAUGACUCUGAUGACAGCUCUGCCCCCCACCCACGUGGUUCACGAGUGUAGGAGGUGGAAUCUCCAUGGGCCAGCCAGGACGGGAAGCCCUGAGAAGUCAGGAAGCCCCCGUGGGUUUAGACUGGAAUUCGAGACUGUGCGAGGUAACCCUGAGCCGAGUUCUGCAGAAUGCAAUGAGGAGGUCCCUGGUACAUGGCAGGAAAACGUCCUUUGGAUGCUCAGGUAAUCCAGGAGAACCCGCGUCAUCUUCCUUCUGUGGGCUUGCUAUCUAGCCUGAUGAGUGGCCAUUCGGUGGAACGGGCUGUCAUUCCAUAAGGAGGGGGACAAGCAGCUAGGAGAGAGUCCCCUUUGUGGCCAGGGAAUGGGCACCUGGGGAGGCUGUAUUUCUGGUCCUGCUUGCACACCUGCUGGCAAAGGCGCCCGAUACCAUGGAAUAGAUGCCCCCCUUUCAAAUAAAGCGCCAGUAUCUCCCA
rnacentral:lncRNA from 1 species